GUAGGUGGCAAGCGUUGUCCGGGAAUUAUUGGGGCGUAAAGCGCGCGCAGGCGGUUCUUUAAGUCUGAUGUGAAAGCCCACGGGCUCAACCGUGGAGGGUCAUUGGAAACUGGAGAACUUGAGUACAGAAGAGGAAAGCGGAAUUCCACGUGUAGCGGUGAAAUGCGUAGAGAUGUGGAGGAACACCAGUGGCGAAGGCGGCUUUCUGGUCUGUAACUGACGCUGAGGCGCGAAAGCGUGGGGAGCAAAUAGGAUUAGAUACCCUGGUAGUCCACGCCGUAAACGAUGAGUGCUAAGUGUUAGGGGGUUUCCGCCCCUUAGUGCUGCAGCUAACGCAUUAAGCACUCCGCCUGGGGAGUACGGCCGCAAAGGCUGA
rnacentral:rRNA from 1 species